UUCUGUGCAUAGUCCGGUGUUGUCCUACACGACUGCUUUGGUUCUGGGUCAGAGAGAGAGAAGGGGAAUGACUUUUCAUUCUCUUCCAAGCAGAAGUGGGAGGUUGUCUUGCCCCUCCCCAAAGCACUGCAGGCACAUGGGAGUAGCUCAGUGCUGGCCCAGUUCUCUGAGAAACACCCAUGGGGGAGAGGUUUAAGUCUUAAUGACAACGCUCUGGUCUCUUGGUGACAAAGACUGGGUCCUGCAGUCCCAGCCUGAUGAGGGAGAACAGGAACUUCUGUUCUUUGUGGCAAACCUUCUGUUACUCCUUGUGCAGUCUAUUCUUUCCGUUAUGUGUGUUACUGUCCAGAAUCUCUCCGAGGAAAGCUGUUAGAAAUUUAGAGGUAGGACUGGAAUUUGGGUCUGUUCCCUACAAACUCCUGCAAAACCUGAAGGACCGGGCUGAUGACUACUCUUAACAAAGUUUGGCAGGGCUGGGACAAGGAGGACUCGUGCAGGCACCUCCAGAGACAGCAGGAACAAGAGUGUGUUGUGGAGAAGGAAAAUUCCAGGUGAAUUGCCACGAGAGGAAAUACCUCAGAGGGGCUUCCCUCCAGAUAAGCCCUGAAUAUGCCAGGAGGUUUCAGCUGGGAGAAAGGAGCUGUGGAAGAAAACCAGCCUAAAAAUAGCCAGUGAGGAUCAUCAGGUUUUCCAGCCAAGAAAAACAAGGACGGAGAUGAGGGAAUCGGGUUCCAAUUAAUAAUGAUUUGGAAGUGGGCUGUGACAAGGGAAUUGGCUCCCACGAGGCCGAGGAUCAGAGCGGGCUCUGCACAGGGGACGACUUCCACUUCCGAACGGGGAAGGGCACCUUUGUCCCCAACCCUGGCAAACUGGGAUGGAGUAACAUCUGCCUGCAGCUGGCUGGAGUUCCUGUUGGCUCUGGGCUUUCUGUCCACGGGCCGGGGAUCAUGGCCAGAGUCAUUCAAACCUGGGGAACAGUGGCCUUCACACCAUCCCUGCAGCCCGUCCAGGGCAGGUUGCUGCCCAUCGGCCCCUGAUCGCAGGUGGAUGUAGAAGUGAUGGUGUUUAGGGAAUGCUGAUUGUAUUUCCCUGACUUUAGCAACGUGGUCAUUAAAAAGAGAAAAAUAACAAGUC